AGUGGGUCCGUUUACGUGACGUCAAUCAUAGUGCACGUCUUUACUGGUAGCUACGAUUAUAAAUACGAGCAAAACCGACGGUUUCUGCACGCGAUUAGACAGAUCAAAGUAUGACUAAUUUGCUGUGACAUCAUAUAAAAACACAAGGGAAAGAAGGACAAGGAGAAGUGAGCGAGAUAAGAGAAAGAAUGAGAGAGGCAAACCUACACACGUUGCAAGGAGAUCUAGGAAAAGCAGAGCAACAGUGGAGAAUCCUGCAUACUCUGAAUUGGAAAAAUAAGAAAGACAAGCAAAAUUGAGGACUUCUGGAUAGAAAUUGCAGGGUACCCAGAUGCUGCAGAUAUCUACUCAGCUCCAGUGAGGAAGAUGAGGAAGAGAGUACUGAUCUAUAACAGAAGAAAACAUUAAGACUAUAUACAGUAAUUGACCAAAGCAGAGUCGGAAGGAGACUGCUCAGCAAGGAUGUUUGUAGAGUUUUCCAUGAAAAGCGUUUGUAAAGUUAUAACUGAAGAGAACAGGACAAAAAAUGGCAGGUAAAGUAUAAUGUGCGCUUGUGUUUGUCUGCGGUAUGACAACUGAUAACAGAUGGACAGGACAUAUGAGAAAACCUAUAAAUAGUUAAGGUAUCCUGAAAUUUGGAAUCAUCUUGAACUGAAAGGAGACCAAGCACAGAAGAAGAGACACUGAACAAAAUGACAAAUUGAGUGGUAAUAUGCAUUCUAAGAGUAUAUAUUUUAAAAAUAAUAGCAUAGGUAAAGUUUUUCUGACCUUCAUUCCAGUGUAGGACAACUGUGUCAGUGUUGGUGCUUGCAUGUAGGUAACAGCCAAUGAGGAGAGACCAGGACAAAAGAACAAUCAAGGGGAAAAUGUUAGUACAAGUCAUUGAAUCCUUUUAUGGUAACAUAAUUGUAUUUAAAUAUGGCAUUAAAAUGUUAAGCAUUUGAAUGUGAUCAGCAUGCAAAAUACUUCUCCUUGAGAUGCUGGGAUUGUAAGUGUGUGUGUAUGAUAUUCUACUGACUAAAACUGGGAAAAUCUGUACCAUUCUUUUUGUCUUAAAAUCUGAAUGUGCAUUUUACAGCACUGUUAAUAUGACAUUAUGUCUAUUGAACAUUGUUAAAGCAAAAAUAAGGAUAGUAAAAAAUUCCAUUGAAUGAUACAAAUACUGUGGAUUUUUUUCCCCAUCUGUGGCAGUAAAUACUUUUUAGACGCUACAAGGGUAUGUUUCUCCUCAUGAAAAAAUCAGCAAAAGUGGCCAAUACACAUGUCUUUAAAGAAAGAAGUUUUGCGUUUUUUUUGGCUACUAUGUUUGAAUUCUAGAGAUGUUUACGUAAGAAGAUGCCUUCAUGGGAAAAGUAAUGUUUUCUGGUUACUGCAAGAUUGGGAAAAAGGAGGAGUGCAGCCAUAUGCAUAGAUUUGUUGGGGAAGAUAUCAGAAUAAUGGAUAUAAAUAGUCGUGAGGGCAGUGUUUUCAGUCAGAGAGGGAGGGGCAGAAGAUUCACAGAGGGAGCAACUGGACAGAAAGAUUCUAUGAAAGGCCUAAAUAUACCACUUAUAUCUGAAAUGGCUGGUCUUCCCAAUAAACAUUAAUUGCUAAGAAACACAUAAUGAAUAGACAAUAUAUGACGCAAAAUGACUGAUGGAGUAUGAGAGGUUAAAGGAGAAAUUGUACCAAAGCAGCAAAAGAAUGAGAUCUAUGUUUUGUCCUUUUCUUUACGGCCUUUGGGAAACUGGCAAUCAGUCAUUUUUACAUUAUGCCUCUCAGUUUACUAUGACUUAUGUUUUGCUGGGUAAAUGUACAACAGUCUGCGUGGCAAAAUGAUGGCAAAAUGGUUCACUGGAAAUGACCUCGCAUAGCAGGAGACAAAAUUGAAAAAGCUAAAUUCAUCAAAAGAAUGGAAAUAAUUUAUAUGCUGUACAUUCCUAUCAUUAUAAAUAUGAACUGUAUAAAUAAACUGUACUGGGUAUAUAUUCAGACAUGUACAAUUCUCUUGUGUAUGAUUGGAUGUUUAUUUAUGUGCUCUGUGUGUUGACCUUCCC